GAAAGAGGAGAUGUACAGUGUUCUCUACGAGUGUCAGGAGAAGAAGAUUUUUCAUGGCACAGCGCGAGAGAAUGCUGAGCUGCUGGAGGAUCUUUCUGGGCAAGUCGAGCCUAGAACCAAUGACUUCCGCUGGCGCAUGCACCGGGUAGGAAAAAUGCUCAGUGAUUCUGUCAUGUUGGCAGGGGUGUUUUCUGUCACCUAUGUGGUUUUGGACAAGCUCAUAGGUCCAUACCCGAAAGAAAGAGGUAAGAUCGAGCCAUCUCUGGAGGCAUAGGGAGGGAUACCAUGAUGAUGUUGGUGCUAUCUAUUGUGUGUUAUUGGAAUCAGCUGACAACAUCAUAAUCGUCCAAAAUUAUACAUAUGUGUGUGUGUGAGAGAGGGUUGUGAAAUCCAUGUAAGUCUACGGUAUGUUAGUCGUUGUGUGAAUCCUUGCUCUAUAUUUCGUUCUAUAAUGGAUUCUGUGCUAUGUUGAUCCCCCUUGUUUGAGUUUUUUAAGACGCUUUGUGAUGUGUUGGCGACUGUGACAGAA